AUCCGACAGGACUGGCGAUACUUCUUCCAGAGUCCAGUCCUUUUCAUGGAGAAACGCCUUGUUUCCUGCAAGCACCUACCAUGUCUAAUACACUUUGCUAAAUCCUGGGAAUACCAAGAGGAGGAAAAGUUGAACAGAUGCAAGACUUGAGGAGGGAGUCAUCCCUAGACAAUUCUACUGUCUGUGAGAGGGACUGCCUGGCCUCCAAACAGCUCUGGGGACAACUGGAAACUUCUUAUCUCAAGCAUUCAAUCCUCCUGCUAGCUGUGUGACCUUUGGAAGAGUGGAAAGAAUAUGAGAUCUAUGAUCAGAUGACCCGGGCUCAAACCCCCGUUUUGCUACUUAUGACUUGCAUGACCU
rnacentral:lncRNA from 1 species